rnacentral:tRNA from 1 species
UCCCAGUUGGCUCAGUGUUACGUAGAGAAUCUGCCUACAAUUCAGGAGACCUGGGUUCAAUCCCUGGGUUGGGAA